GGAUGGAGUGAUGAAUAUUUGUUUCCCUAUUGGUUUGAUAAUCUAAAUGAUGCAAUUGGUAUCAUGUCUGACCAUUC